AACGUAGGAGACAAACGUUUAUCCGGAGUUACUGGGCGUAAAGGGCGUGUAGGCGGUUUGUUAAGUUUGGCGUUGAAAGCUCUCGGCUAAACCGGGAGAGGUCGUUUGGAUACUGGCAAACUAGAGGACGGUAGAGGCGUGUGGAAUUCCGGGUGUAGCGGUGAAAUGCGUAGAUAUCGAGAGGAACACCUGCGGCGAAGGCGGGUGC
rnacentral:rRNA from 1 species